rnacentral:rRNA from 1 species
UUGACGGGGACCCGCACAAGCGGUGGAGCAUGUGGUUUAAUUCGAAGCAACGCGAAGAACCUUACCAAAUCUUGACAUCCUCUGACAACUGUAGAGAUACAGCUUCCCUUCGGGGCAGAGUGACAGGUGGUGCAUGGUUGUCGUCAGCUCGUGUCGUGAGAUGUUGGGUUAAGUCCCGCAACGAGCGCAACCCUUAAGUUUAGUUGCCAUCAUUAAGUUGGGCACUCUAGACUGACUGCCGGUGACAAACCGGAGGAAGGUGGGGACGACGUCAAAUCAUCAUGCCCCUUAUGAUUUGGGCUACACACGUGCUACAAUGGACAGGUUACAAAGGGCAGCAACGCCGCGAGGCCAAGCGAAUCCCAUAAAACUGUUCUCAGUUCGGAUUGGAGUCUGCAACUCGACUCCAUGAAGCUGGAAUCGCUAGUAAUCGUAGAUCAGCAUGCUACGGUGAAUACGUUCCCGGGUCUUGUACACACCGCCCGUCACACCACGGAAGUCGAUAACACCUGAAGCCGGUGGGCCAACCUUUUGGAGGCAGCCGUCGAAGGUGGGAUUGAUGACUGGGGUGAAGUCGUAAC